AUUGAACGCUGGCGGCAGGCUUAACACAUGCAAGUCGAGCGAGCGGCGGACGGGUGAGUAAUGUCUGGGACACUGCCUGAUGGAGGGGGAUCACUACUGGAAACGGUUGCUAAUACCGCAUACCAUCAGAUGUGCCCAGGUGGGAUUAGCUAGUAGGGGGGGUAAUGGCUCACCUAGGCGACGAGCCCUAGCUGGCCUGAGAGGAUGCUCAGCCACACUGGAACUGAGACACGGGCCAGACGCCUACGGGAGGCAGCAGUGGGGAAUAUUGGACAAUGGGCGCAAGCCUGAUGCAGCCAUGCCGCGUGUGUGAAGAAGGCCUUCGGGUUGUAAAGCACUUUCAGCGAGGAGGCGUUACUCGCAGAAGAAGCACCGGCUAACUCCGUGCCAGCAGCCGCGGUAAUUC
rnacentral:rRNA from 1 species